rnacentral:rRNA from 1 species
UACGUAGGGGGCAAGCGUUGUCCGGAUUUAUUGGGCGUAAAGAGCGUGUAGGCGGCCAUACAGGUCAGCUGUGAAAACUCGAGACUCAACCUCGAGACGUCGGUUGAAACCGUAUGGCUAGAGUCCGGAAGAGGAGAGUGGAAUUCCCGGUGUAGCGGUGAAAUGCGCAGAUAUCGGGAAGAACACCCGUGGCGAAGGCGGCUCUCUGGGACGGUACUGACGCUGAGACGCGAAAGCGUGGGGAGCGAACAGGA